CCUUCUCUGUCAGGCACACACACAUGGCCCUCUCAUUCUAUUCAAAAUUAAUUUCAGAAAAAACAUCUUAGGGUCAUUCUCUUCAGUUCAGUUCUAUUCUGUUCAGACAAAAAUACUUAAUUAAGAACAUCAAAAAGUCUGAACAUUGAUUAUAAUCCACCAGUCCUAAUAAGUAUCACACAGGAGGCUUCAUCCAUCAAGUGCAUAAGACAACUUCAGUCGGCUGUUUUUGUGUUUUGCAGCAAACCGCUCUACAAAGACAUUUAGGUCAAGUGCUUUAGCUCUCUCUUUUUCGAUACUCAGCACUGCUAAAUUUGAUAAUCGUUCAGCACUGAUUGUUGACCGCAGGUGGUCUUUAACCAGUUUCAGGACCGAAAAGCUGCGUUCGCAGCCGGCAGUGGUGACCGGGAGAACAGCUGCUAUUAUACAACACAUGCACGGACGAGUGUGUGCUGUUUCCAGUCGCUAGUAAGCAAUGUUUACUAUGGUACUGUUGUUGGUACUGAUGAACAGCAACCUAUGCAAACGAACACAACAUUUUAAAAUGAAUCUACUAGAACUACCCCAAAGCAAAGACAAAUAGCUGCUAUCGCUAGUUUUGGAACUAGUUGUUAGUUAGCUAUGUCUGGAACACGAAUAGCGCACCAUGCUAGCAGUGGAUUAUGCUAAAACCAAAAGCUGUAUUGGCUUAGUUUACAUGAAAAGGGUUUUUAAUGAUUUUGACCAACCUCUCCCUCCUUUGUUCAUUAUUUUCACGCCGCUGAAAUUGCAACAGGUCACGUGAGAUUACUCGUGUGGUGCUGGUUGAGACGGUGGUCGCAGUCACGUCAGGUGCGUGACUGGCAGAAAGGGCGAAACCAUUUAGAAAUUCCAGUGGGGGUGAGGUCGGAGGACGUUUUAAAAAGUAGGCUUCUUGGGUGGGUCAGAGAGAAGAUAGUAAGCGCAUUUAUGUGAAUAAACCACUAUGUUUGAAAACUAGAAUUGAUACUUUAAUUGGAAAUAAAAUGGGGUGGCAACUGGGGAGGCAAAAUAUAUACCUGGGGUGGCAAAUGCCACCCCGUGCCACCCCUUAAAACCGCCACUGCACAGACCACCACCAAACGACUCAAAAUGCCCUAAAACGUGCUCCUAGACACUUUCUGUGGGAACUUUUUUUCACUCCACACAAAUUUUCACAAAAUCUUUACAAUGGCAACUAUGUGCACUCUCAAAAAUGAUGUGUUAAAUAAUUACACAUUUUUUGUGUUAUCACAAUUUUAACACAAUUUGUGUUAUUUUGUGUUGUUAAUGUGUUAUAUUACUGGAAUAUACUGCCCAACACAAAAUGUGUUAAAUUAUUGGCCAAUCCCUGGUGUCCUGGAUGAGCCGUUACCCUGAGAAGAGAAGUUAUUUUUCUCAGCACUUCAUUUUAUCUUGGCGCGCACUUGAAGAAGUUGGAAGGUGGCACUGGCACACAGUGGAUGUAAAUGUCUGAAUAAAAGGUAAGGUAGACCCAUGUCUUCAGACGUAUUUGUUAUGUUUAUUUUAAAGACUGUUGCAACUUGCAAUAUUGUAAAGGUUAAACGAUAAUAAACUAAAAUAAAGUCCAGCAUCGAUUGUUAGCCAAGUAGAUCUAGCAGCUAGGUUAUUGAUAAGCAAUCGUUAUGCUAGACUAGUCCAUGUUAAGUCAACCCUGACCUUACAUUAACACACUUUGAAAAACACUGCCACACUCACAGAAAUGAAUCAUGGUAGAGUUUAUAUUUAUGCAUAUACAUCUAUUAGAUUUUAUUUAAAUUAAAUAUUUUUUAAAUGUAUGUAUUGAAAUUAAUUAUAAUCUGUGUAAUUCUGUCAAUUCUAAAAUAUAUUAAAUGUAAUUACUUAAUACAUAAUAAAAUGGUUUAAAUAAUCAAAGCUGUGAAACAAACACGAUUCUUUUACUUAAAAUGUAUGGGAUUGGUGCGCAUACAAUUAAGGCUACCGGUAAGUGAAGCGGAACAGGAAAUGCCACCCUCGUUUUCCACUGGACGCCAUCUUCCCAGCUCAGGUGUAAUGGUGCUGUGUUAUGUGGCCAUGCAGAUUGUGUGACAGUAUAUUAUCUUCAAGUCGGAUCCAGACGUAUGGUGACCCUGAAGAGACACAUCGUCAUUACAGCCGAGCUGGACACCCCAAGGUUGCCAUCAACUCUCUGAAAAACAAGCGAAGUGGCCAGCAGUCUCCAGCAGCCAACAUCAAGAAGCCCAGGAAGGGAGAUGUAAAUUUCUGUCCGAACAUCCCUAGUGGUGAAACAAUACACAGUUUGGAGAUGGAAAGGGUGGCUCUACUGAUGGAGGUAAAAAAGAAGAAAAGGGAUGAGGCCCUCAUCAAGGAAAAGAUGCAGCGUACAUUCUCCCUCAGGAGACAGGAGGUUCUCCAGGAGCCAAAGAUUCCAGAGUUUUUCAAUAAAUGGCCAGCACUCUUUGACGUCAUUGAGAUCAACUUGGAGUUUAUGCGGCUGACAACUGUACCACUGACCUUAACAGUUUUGAGGGAACUGGACCGCCUGACCGGCGACCUGAUCAGGGUUUUCAACACUAAAGGGGGAGCUGCAGGGGAAAAAAUCGGAGCCAUGAUGGCAAAGAUGGAGAAUAAUCAAGACAUCAACGUGAGGCGUGAUUGCGUUUUGAGAUGUCUCAGCAUCUACCUCUGUGAAGACCUGGACACAUUGGUCAAAGAAUACGUGGAAGUAAAUCCAAAUGGUCCGGAGGGGCCUGAGGUGAAGGGACGGGUCCUGGCACCUAAGCGUCUCCCAUCUGCAGCAACAAUUCUGCCCCAAACAAGAAGGAUGCAUGUUGUGGACUCUCAGCUUAUGAGCUCCAACGCCUGAAGAACAUCGGGGAGAGGGAAGCCUUCUUUUCGUCCUUGAUGUUAUUGCAAGCAGCUGAGGAUCUGAGGCAGACUAUAAAGCCAAAGCCGGAUGUGAAGAGGUCAAAUGCUUCGUUGGAUAAAGUGCAGUCUCUUCUGUCUUCCCGGAAAUCCUUGCGUCUUAAGGAAGCACAAAACCUUAGCCUCAGAGUAGGACGAACCUAUGAACAUGUAAGUUAGUCUCUUAUGUUUCAUGUGCACCAUUAAAUAUUCACUAAAUUAAAGGAUUACCGUAAGAGUAUUAAUUUUAAGCAAUGAGACACGACAUGCCAUUCUUUACGGCACAGUUACCACAAACACGGUAAGGAAUGGCAUCUAGAUUCUUUGACACAACCCUCAUUGUGAUCAACAAUCAACAAUGCUCAAACACCACUUUUUUUUUUCAUCAUAUUUAAAUAGUUGAUGAUCAUUGAAUGUACAACUCCAUUUAUACAUAACGUGACUUUUUGUUUUGUUUUCCAGGCUUUUAGGGAGUCAAAGAUCUUGAGGUCAUUGUAACCUUGAACUCCAUCCCAUUCUCAUGAACGCUAUAUCUACAGUGCCUUCAGAGAAUUUUUUCAAAUUAACACGCACUUGGCCUCAAUGAUGAGCUGCUUAGAAUUUGGUGGUCAAAGGUGAGGGUGACACAGCUCAUUGUUCUCUGUUCCCUCCAUCUUUCAGGACAUCGAAUGCAGUGAGGCCGAGGCAGAUGUCGCAGGGACAACCAUGGCAAUCUACACCGUUCAAGCUGAGGGUGAUGAUCAUGAUGGUC